rnacentral:rRNA from 1 species
UACGUAGGGGGCAAGCGUUGUCCGGAAUCAUUGGGCGUAAAGCGCGUGUAGGCGGCUGACUAAGUCCGCUCUGAAAGCCCGGGGCUCAACCCCGGGAGGCGGGUGGAUACUGGCCAGCUCGAGUCCGGAAGAGGAGUGUGGAAUUCCUGGUGUAGCGGUGAAAUGCGCAGAUAUCAGGAGGAACACCAAUGGCGAAGGCAGCACUCUGGGACGGUACUGACGCUGAGACGCGAAAGCGUGGGAGCAAACAGG